CUUCAAACGCCAUCUUUUACGUGGGCGGAAAAAGUCGCUGCUUAAUUUCGUUUUCCUCGUGGGACACCGUAGGUGCGUCUUGAAGUUUUUCAUUUGCAUUUACGUGAAGGCGGGAGGCAUGUGGAAGAGGGCGGGCUCCAUUUGUUCCAUACCUUUGUUCGAUGACGCGUUCGGUGAAAAUGGGGGGUAAGGUGUUAGCCGAGAUAGUGGUGUCAUUAGUGAGGAAAGCUGCUUAGACCCGAGAAAGCAGAGUUGGUAGUUGUGAAUGGUUUGUGCUUUGACAGGUAGUGGGCGCUCAAUAAGUGUGUUGAAUUAAUGGAUUUAUUUUCUCCUUAUGACACUAUUAAGUGUGCUGUAACUUCACUUCAAGUCUGAUUAGGUAAUUUCCUUUUUCCGCAAAACCUAGUCACCACAGUUUUGUCUUCCUUACGUACAAGCAUUUUCUUAAGCUUGAUUUUCACACUUUUAAACGUCAUUUUUGCUAGUUGCGCAACGUGGAGAAGUUGGGGUUUUUUAGCCUUCGAUAAUGUACUUCACCAUUCUAUUUGAUGUGCCGUAUGAUUUGUUUCUAAACCUCGAGUUGAUUAGCCUUUGGUAUGCAGGUGUAUAUAUCCAUGGUACAGAGGAACAGCACUUAACAUUUUUCAUCUUUAAAAAGCAUACAGCACAGAGGCGCCUGGGGUGGCCCAGUCGGUUGAGCGUCCGACUUGGGCUGAGGUUAUCAUCUCACGGCCUGUGAGUUUGAGCCCCACGUCGGACUCUGUGCUGACAGCUCAGAGCCUGGAGCCUGCUUUGGAUUCUGUGCCCCACUCGUUCUCGCUCUCUCUCUCUCUCUCUCUCUCUCUCUGGCAAAAAUAAAUAAAUAUUAAAAAAAAUUUUAAAAAGCAUACAGCACAUCUGUAUCAUUGAGGAAGAAAAGAAGGAAUAAAUACACAAAUGACUCCCUCAAACUUAACACCCUUUGCAGAAUUAGAUCCCUUACUCAGUCAGUGCUGUAUGCUUAUAUCAUAGCACCAAAUAAGUACCAUUCAUUUAGUUCCUAUUGUGUGUUCGGUACUGUGCUCCUUAGUCAAUGUCUUUCAGUGGAUUAGAGCAAAAAACUCAAGAGGGAGAAGGUAGUUGUGACUUAGUACUGUGAUCCACAGUACUUGUAUGGUGUAAAAUUUUACACUGGAAGGUGUAAAAUAGGAGGACAGAUAUCCUAGCGUCCAUCCCUUCUUCAGGGAACCAAAGAGAAAAUGAUACUAAAUACAUAGUAAUGUGAUCCAUAUUAGCAGAACCAAAGGAUGGCUUGGGAAUCUGGCUUUAACCCUUAUUUCCUCCAGACUCUGUCAAUCACCCAAAUAAACCACCCCAAAUAACUCAGCCAUCUAGUGAAAAUACGUUUUGUUAUUGAAAUGUUUCUUCAAGUAAGAGACUUAGUCCUCCAUUUCCAAUUCGACUAAUAUUCCAAGAUCCUGUUUAGAAAUUUUGAGCUAUCCUCCUAUCCACGUGUAAUUAAUUAGCAAUCAUACAAAAAGGCUCAACUAGGAGAGCAGUGAAGCAGAUGGUUAAGAGGUUGGGCUCGAGAAUCAGAUCUGGUAUAAAUUCUGUCUUUGCCUUUGAUCAGUUGUGAGACUGGGCAGCAUGUAACUUCUCCCUCUCUCUCUUUCUUUUGUUUGUUUGUUUUUUGAGGUAUGUACCUUCUCUUACCUCAGUUUCCUUAGCUACAAAAUGGCAAGCAGAAUAAUUUCUCACCAGGUUGUUGUGAGGCUCACCUGAGAUCAAGUAAGCUAAGAAUUUAGAAUAGCACAUUCAAACAAGGGUGGCUUCAAUUUUGGUUUUAGUAAUCAUGCAAGGAUAACAGAAGAAAUAAGAAAUGACUUGUAAAUCUCUUAAACUGUGUACAUAUUUACAAUUCCAAUAAAUAGAGUAUCAGAACCCAGGGAAUAUUAUUGGUACAUAACAAAUGUCAGUUAUUGGCAGGAAGCCUCCCCAUCCUCUCUUUACUAAUGUAUUUCAGAAAUGUCUUAUGUGCUGCUUUGGAGCCGGAGCUGAGGAUUUGUUGAUUACCUCCCAUUUACCAAGAUUACAGCAAAUUAGAUUUAACUGUGACUGGCAUGGGAACUAUCUGAUGUCGACAUGGAUGAGGAAUAUUGCUAUAUAAACCACAGUGAGUUUAAUUUCUUUUAAGUAAUGAGAUUUUAUGUGGUUGCCUUAUUCAUUGCAGACUUAUCAAUAUGUACUUUAUGGUGCAUUGCCUUUUGGUUGCAAUAUAAAUGAGCCAGCACCCAGCUGAGGUACUUCCAGUUACGAUCUAUUAAGUUAGUUCUGUGAUCUAGUGUGAUAUAAAUGGUUUAGAAAGCUCUAAUGGGUCCACAACGGCUCUAAUGAUGCACAUUGUAGGCAGCACCCGUGUGAGAGAACAUUAGGAUCCCAUUUGUAUUUUCAUGUCCUUCUGGGAUUCACCAUUGUAUAAAUGAUAAACUUCUCAUUGAGAAGAAUCACAUCCUCCACGAGGUACUAACCUCUGUUCCUUCCAUGCUGGUGCUCUGCACCUCACAAGCAACAGUUGUGAAAGAUCUAAGGCCCAAAAUAGAGUCCCCAGGGAGAAGAAAUUCCUAGUAAUUGCAGCAUCAUAGAACCCAUAACAAGAAAGAGAACAAGUUGGAAGACAAGCCUACUGAUUUCUUAAAUCUUAGAUAAGGUGCCCCCGGGUGGCUCAGUUGAUUAAGCAUCUGACUCUUGCUCAGGUCAUGAUCUCACAGUUGGUGGGUUUGAGCCCCAUGUAGGGUUCUGUGCCCACAGCUCAGAGCCUGGAGCCUGCUUCAGAUUCUGUGUCUCCCUCUCUGCCCCUCCCCCACUUGCACUUUCUCUCUCAAAAAUAAACAUUUAAAAAAAUCUUAGACAAGAUCAUUAGCCAAUUUCUUGUAGAGGAAGACAGAUUUUGAAGUUAUAUCUUGGUAAGUUGGUCAUAAUUUGACAGAAUUUAGAUGCAGUGGAUAGUGCAGGGGGAUAGUUUUGGUGCUGUCCUGUAAUGCCUGAGUCACAGUGGAGUAGUGGCAGAUAAGUGGCAGUGACUCCCUCUAUAGCCACACCCUUCCCAGGCCCAUUUCAGAAUGUCUCCCUGAGUCCAUCUGCCUGUCGGAACCCCCACUUGCAGCUCUCAGCAUUUUUUUCAUUUAUGCUUGUACUUCACUACGCUUACUCAUAUGUUGCUUUUAAGUAAGUUCUUUAGUUGUUUCAUGUGUGGCUUCUGCCUCUCAACUUUGUCACAGGCUAUAUGACCUAGGCCCAUAGGUGGGCUUACAAUUUCAUCUUAUGACUCCUUUGUUUUUGGUACAUAUCAGAUAUAAAUGCCAGCUGGCUAACUGAAACUUGAUUCCUACUACUUAGAAUUGUUAUCCUUAGGCCAGGCUCCUGUCAGGCAAGGGCUUCUUUUGAAAAUGGCCUUUGUCCUUAUUCAAGGGCCAGAGUGAUAGUGUUUCAGGUUCAGGAUCACUUUGAUUUGAAGUGGGUGAGGAGCUCAUGUCGUUUUUUUGUUCUUAAUUUUUUUUAACAUUUACUCAUUUUUUGAGAGAGAGAGAGACACAGAGCAUGAGUAGGGGAGGAACAGAGACAAAAUCUGAAGCAGGCUCCAGGCUCUGAGCUGUCAGCACAGAGCCCGAUGCAUGUCUCAGACCCACGAACCACAAGAUCAUGACCUGAGUCAAAGUCAGAUGCUUAACCUACAGAGCCACCCAGGCGCUCCAGAGUUCAUGUCUUUUUUGUCAUCAAUGUCAUCUUUCCUACCUCCUUUCCCACACAAUUUUGUUAGCACAAAAAAGAAACAAAACAAUAACUGUCUUUGGGAGCAAUCUCAGGUCACUUAGUUUUAAAAUGUUUUGACAUCUUUUUUUUUUUUUAAUUGAAGUCCAGUUGGCAUACAAUGCUAUAUUAGUUUUAGGAGUACAACAUAGUGAUUGGACAAUUGUAUGUAUUACUCAUUGCUGACCACGAUAAAUGCAGUCACCAUCUGUCGCUUUACAGAGUUAUUACAAUAUUGUUGACCAUGUUCCCUCCGCUGUACUUUUCAUCUCCGUGACUUAUUUGUUUUAUAAGUGGAAAUUUGUACCUCUUAAUCAGACAUCUGUGAAGUUUUAACAUCUACCCUUUUUCUUCUUCAAAAUUUUCUUGACAAACUUGACCCUUUGUUUUCCAUAUGACUGUAAUGACUGGCCUCUAACCUUCCACAAAUAACCUUUGUGAGGUUUUCAUUGGAGUUGCACUGAACUUAUAGGUCAAUUUAUUGUCCUUACAUUUAUAAGCAUGGCGUAUCGCUCUACUUACAACUCCUCAUAUAUUCUUUAAUGAGGUUAUAUAAGUUUCAUGGAAAAGAUGCUUCACAUAUUUUUUGACAUUUUCCCCAAGUUAUAUUUUGUGUUGCUAUUAAAAUUUUUUCUUCUGGAAAUGACAUUUUACUUUUUUAUUUACUUUUUUUUUAGAGAGAGAGUGAGCGAGUGGGGGAAGAGGAGAGGGAGAGACAGAGAGAGAGAGAGAGAAAGAGAUGCCCAGCACAGAGCCCAAUCUUGCCACUGUGAGAUCAUGGCCUGAGCCAAAAUCAAGAGUUGGAUACUUAACCGACUGAGCCACCCAGGUGCCCCUGAAAAUGACAUUUUAAAUACUUUGUUGCUAGUGUUUAGUAUCACUAGUUUUGGAUGUUCAUUUUGUGUUUGGCAGUUUUGCUAACUGUUCUUAUUGGGUGUAAAUAUUUGAAAACAACAAACCAAAGAAAUAAACUCAAAACAAAAAGGUAUCAGUCAUUUCACUCUCAUGCACAACUUUCAGUUGCUCCCUAUUUCCCAUAGUGUUCAGGGUCCUUAGCAUGACUAAAGGCUCUCCACAGUCUGUCUCUAGCUGAAUUUUCAAGGCCUCAUUCUUACUGCCCUUUCUACUAGUUGCUUGCAGAUCCAUGAGCGUUUACAGCUUUGUGACCACUCACAUAAUACACUGGCCUGGAAUGCCCUUACUGCUCCAGUUCAUUCUGUGUGUGUGUGUGAGAGGAAAUUGCAGCCACAUGUUGCCUCCUCCAGGAAGUCUCCUUGGAUUUCCUUGGUUGGAAUCAAUGUGACAUUCAGUUAUGCACCCUCAACCUCCACUCCUCUUGCUAUUAAUAUUAAAAUCAAACUCUUUGUAUUUACAUUUUACAAUUUUAGGGCAAAUAAUGAUCAUAUAAUAUUGAAAUUAGACACUAUUUGCACAUUUAUCAUGAUGAGUACUGAGUAAUGUAUAGAAUUGUUGAAUCACUGUAUUGCACAACUGAAACUGAAACGUAACACUGUAUGUUAACUACAGUGAAAUUAAAAUAAAAAAGUUAACAGUAAAGAAAUUAGAAACCAUUAAAGAUAGUGGCAAAAACACAAUAUACUGUUUAAAGGCAUCAUCAGCUUUGAAGUCAGGCUAGCCUAGGUUUGAAUCCUGGCUUAGCUACUUUGUAUCUUUGGGCAAGUCACUUAACAUCUUUGAGCCUCAAUUUCCUCCCCUUGAAAACUGGGAUUGCUUUGAAGAUUAAAUGAGAUAAUACACAUAAAAUGUUUACCCUGCAACCUGCCCCAUGGUAAUUGCUCAUUAGGGUUAGCCACUAUUAUCCCAUGGUAGAUGCUCAGUUGGUGUUUCUAGAAUAAAUCUAAGCCUGAUCCCUAGUUUAUAGAUGAAGAGAUUGAGAAGGCAAGAACAAGAAGGCCUUUCUCAAGGUCAUACCUUUAGUUUGGGGCAGAUCUAUAACUAACAAUGUAAAAUGAAUAUAAUCUAUGUUCUCACCAGAUUGAAAUCUUCCUGAGGGCGGGGACCUUUUCUUAUUCACCUUUGUCUUCCCCUUGUUUCUAGGCAUAGUGCCUUGAUUGUAUUAGAUUCUCAGUAAAUAUUGAGUGCAAUUUAAGAAAGUUCCCAUCAGAAUCAAGAAUAAAUUAAGAAAAUUCUUUUAAUCUAUACAUAGAUUUGACUUUGCAGAAUUUUGCUAAGCUCCAAAUAUGGCACAAGAUCAAGGGAUCCUGAUAAGGAAAAGCUUAAUUUGAACAUUAUUGUGUUUGUAGGUGACAAAAAUAACAGACCACUUUAGCGUCAAGAUUUCUAGAUAAACAUUUCAUGAACUUCCAAAGGAAGAGGUUAAGAAAUUCAGACAUUAUUUUUAACCUACAGUUUUAUCCAUGGCACUAAUUAUGAGUUUAAAUGUGAUUAUGAAAGAUAAAAAAUACUGCCUUUAUAGAAGCAAUGGAAUUUGAUGAGUUGUUAAUCAUGAAGGUUAAUUAGUUCCCUUUGUGAGAGCAAGGAACGGAGUCACAGGUAGUGAGUCUGUUUUCAAAAACGGAAGAAGGGAUGGAUUAGUAUGUCAUUAUUUUUCAUCUGAAAAUACAUAGAGAGAUAUUCAUCUUUUUAGUAGCUUGCCUGGGAAAUUAAAGAAUGUCUUUUCUGUCAAAAUUAAGAUUUUGCAAUUUUUCACAUACAUUAUAAACCUGUAGACACGUGUAAUUUAGUAUAGAACAGUAAGCUAGAUGGAUAGAUGAGAGGUAAGUUAUUACUAUCAAAUCAUAGUGUUAGUUCUCUCAAAAUUAAUAUCCUCUUCAGAAACGACUCCUUAUUUGCUUGCCAGUAUCCCACGUGCAGGGGUAUAAACGAGAAAUAGCUGGAACAUUGAUGAUCACAUCUCAAGACUAUCACUUGCUUUUACCAAAUAGUGCUUCAGGAAAGAAUGAAAAUACUGCAUGGGAAAUGACAUAAAGAUCUCAUUCUAAAGCACUUUUUUCACCAAUGAACUAUAAGUUAUAAGUCAGGAGAUGUGCGCUUUUUUUUCCUUCUUUUCUGAACACAGGGGGAAAAAGAAAAGAAAAACGAAUGGUCUCUUUGAUGAGUAGCAAAUACCUAAUGCCCUUCUGGUGUUGCUGCACCAUGAUCCAAUUAUCUCCCACAUUUCUUAACAGUGUUUACAAACUGUUUGUGCAUUUAAGUUGAAUUAAAUGGAUGACAAAUCCAAAUGAAGAAAAAAAAGAAAGAACAAAAUAAAGUUGAAGUCCUGAUCAUUUUCAUGCCUAAAUAUUGUCAUUGUGGAAAAAAAAAAACACUGUAAAAAGUAGAGUUCAAAUUCCUACUCGCUCUAGGGCAGGCAGCCUGUGUACUGUCCAGCUCUGUGUGCCAAGUGCUUGUUAAAAUUAAUUAUCAUUCAGCAGCUUUCUCUCUCUAAGUAGAACUCCCAGAAAAUAUGCUUGGAGUAGAGAAAUGCAAAUUGGGUUAUGAGGUAAUUUUGUACUCUAGGGACAGAUUUUAUUUUAUUUUUUUCAUUUCAUAUUACUUCAUGUCGGAAAAGGUUCAUUAUUAUUUAUAUAGCAGAACAAGCCCCGAAGCCAAUCCAUUUCCAACCUUCUUGUCACUUUCUGCAUUCCAAACACCACUAAAUUCCCAAAUGAGUAGGCUAAUUCUUUCCUUAGCCAUAAAACUUGCUUGGGGUAUUACUAACUUAGCUGAUAGCACUUUAUUCAAAAUAAGUCUUCUUCUCCAGGAAUGUGUUCAAAGACCUCAUUUCUAUGUGGCCGUUACCUUGGUGGAAGAGAAGGUGGCUUGUCUGUUGAUUAUCACUUCUGAAUUGUUUCCUUGAGUACCUUGGACCUAAACUAACGGGGGACUACUGAAAUAUUUGGGAGUGUGUGCUCGGAAGACAUUUAUUCUACUUAUUUUACAUGUUUAAGAUACACUUCUGAAAACAUUAUUUUUCAAGUGAAUUUGGUCAACUAGAUGACUAGUACAUUCAAAAUACCCUAUUUUUCAAUUAAUCAAAAUAUUGUUACCUAAUUAACUUAAAUGCAUACCUGAUACAGGUUUGUUUAGAACCAUACAGGAACAACAGCAACAAGACAUUAUUAUUUUUUUAAUCAAAAAAAUUUUUUUUGAACAUUUAUUUAUUUUUGAGAGACAGAGACAGAGUACAAGCAGGAGAGGGGCAGAGAGAGAGAGGGAGACACAGAAUCCGAAGCACGCUUCAGGCUCUGAGCUGUCAGCACAGACAGGGUCUUGAACCCACGAACAGUGAAAUCAUGACCUGAGCUAAAGUCGGAUGCUUAACCGACUGAGCCACCCAGGUUCCCCUUUUAAAAAUUCUUUAAUGUUUAGUUAUUAUUAGAGAGAGGGACAGCAUGCAAGUAGGGGAUGGCAGAGAGACACAGACUCUGAACCAAGUUUCAGGUUCUGAGCUGUCAGCACAGAACCCCAUGCGGGGCUUGGACUCACGAACCAUGAGAUUAUGACCUGAGCUAAAGUCGGAUGCUUAACCGACUGAGCCACCCAGGUGCCCCUACAACAAGACAUUAUUUACUGCCCUUCCCUAUGCCACCUCAAUACGCUGACUCCAGGCUAAUGUAAGAGGGGUGAUUCUUCUGGCGUGCCUAGUUUAACUCCUGUGAGAUGAAUCUGUCUUGUCUGUAGGGUUCUGGGGCUAGCAGUGGAACCAGCCGGUUGAAGAAAGGAGAGUUUUUCCAUCUCAGCAUAAGAACUUCCUGACAGAGUUGCAUCAAGAUGACAUUGGUAGAGAGUUCCUCCCCUGGGAGGCAUUCAGGGGUGAGCUAAGCUGUGCCAAAGAGGCCAUUCAGGUAACAGAUGGACAGUAUGAUCCUGAGAGUCUUGACAAAUGACUCCUUCAAGAUGGCAUUCCCUCUUAUAAUUGCUGCAGCUUGAAGAGCAUUUACAAAGUAAAACCACUUUGUAGGUGUAGGACAGGAAUGGAAACUUAAGAUUCCUCUCUUGAUUCUGGCCAACCCAUUCAGAGACAAUGUCUGUGAAAGCUGUCAAGGAGAAAAGCUUCCCUGAGAUGAUGGAAACUUUUAAAUUGGAAAGGAGUAAAAUGAAGAAGUGAGAUUUUUAAAAUUGUGACUUGCAAUCCAACUCUCAUUUCCGUGUACUAAUUUCGUUUUGAGGAAGGACUAACAUGACCAGGAAAAGCUAAUUUUGCAAUGUUACUCACUUUUUUGAGAACUGAGUGGAAAUGAUGGGGCAUGUGCUUCCUAUCUCCUUGCUCCUCUCUCACCUGCUUCAGGAAAAUCAACAUAAUCAGAACGGUUCUGAAAAAAAAAUUUUCUACUGAAGAACUUUUGUGAGAAAGAUUUAAUUUAUAUGAUACACAAGGCCCACUUCAAGUUUUUCUUCCUCUGAAGCCUUUCUGGACCAGUUCGGCCACUGGGACUUUUCCCUCUUCUGGUCUAGAACAUUUUUCCUUUGGUAUUUGUUUAGCACUGUUCCGUACUGUUGAUAGUUAUCCUUAUAUAUGUUUUGUGUCACCUCAGAUGAUAUCCAUGGUAGGCCCUGAGGAAAAGCAGUACAAAGUCAAGGAUGGGACCUUUACUCGCAUGUAAUGUAUAAACCAUGAGUUCUCUUCCUCCCCAACCUCCCAUGAGUGUGUCAUGUCUAGCACAUAGAUGCUUACAAAUAUUCAUGCUAGCUGGUUUGAAAGUGUGACUAUAGUGCCACUCACCAGGCUUUCUAUGUAGCAGGUAAUCAGUCAAUAAAUCAAGAUUAAUCUUAUGAAUAGAUAACAUAUUCACAUGUUAAAAAAUCCAAAUGAUGUUAAAAUUAAUACACUGGCAAAUCUUGCUCCACCCUAGUCCUCAUCUGCUCUGUUCCUCCUGCCCUUUGUAGGAAACCACUUUCUUCUAUUCAUUUUUUUGUGUUCAUCUGUUAUCUCAUUAUGAAAAUGCAGGAAAAUAUACAUAUGUAUCCAUAUCACCUUCCUUUCUUAGACAAAAUUCUGAUACUCUGUGGCCAGUUUUGUAUUUUUUCAUUCAACCAUCUGUUUUUCUUCCAUGUCAGUAUACAGAGGUCUUCCUCAUGUAAGAGCUGCAGAAUGUUCCAUUCUGUGGCUGAAUGAUAGUUAUAUAACCAGUCACCUUUAGAUGGCUGUAUGAAUUGCUUCCAGGUCAUGCUUUUACAAACAAUUUUACUACAAAGUGAAUAAUGUACAUGAUUUUCUAAGUGCACAGGUAUAUCCUUAAGAUAAAUCCCCAGAAGUAGGGUUGCUAGAAUAAGUGCAAUUAAAUUUUUAAAUAGAUUCCCAAUUUUCCCUCUGUAGGUGUUGUAGUAUUUCACUCCCCCUGAUAGUGAAUGAAGAGUCCCUAAUUCCCACAAAUUCGCCAGUCAGAUGUUUAACUGAGCUUGGAUAUUUGAGGAUGUGAUAGGUAAAAUAUUGUAACUUGGUGUGCUAUAUUGUUGCUUUGUUUUUAUUUGCAUUGCCUUUUAUUGUGAUUACAACUGAAAUCUUUUAAUAUGUUUCCCCAGGAUCAUUUGUAUUUCCUUGUUCCCCCUGAUUUAUAUUUUGCCCAGUUUUUUCUACUGGAUUAUUGGUCUGUGGGUUUUUUUUUUUUUAUUUCUAGCAAUUUAUUACAACUAUGGAGAUUAGCCCUUUGGAGAAUGAGUUGCAAUUAAUUUUCUAGUAUUAUAUUUGUCUUUUGAUUUUGCCACAUGGUUUUUGUUUUUGUUUUUGCUUUGGUAUUUUUUUUGUAGUUGUUUGGUUGAUCUUUUUUUGUUUUAUGACACCUUAAUUGUGAGUCAUAGUUGGAAAGGCCUUCUCUACUCUAAGUUUAUAAAAAAUUCUCCAUAUUUCUUGUAGUUCUUUCUUGUUUCAUUAUAAGUGCUUGAUCCAUUUGGAGUUUAUCCUGGUGUAUGUGUGAACUGGGGAUCCAGCUGCCAUCUUUUUUUUCCCUAGAAAGUUAUCUAGUAGUAAUCCAUUGAAGGGGAGCAGGUAUUGCCACCCCCAAAUCCACCACUUUCAUAUGAGGAUUAUCUUGAACUGAAGUCCAUCAAGACUGAGCAGACUUAAGAAAAACCUUUACUUCUCCCUUAACUACCUAAAAGAAUUUAGAUAGGGGGUCUGGCCUAGAAAGAGCUAUUACCAGAGAUAGCUUUUUAUCUGAAUGACCUCUCGAGAUGGCAAGGCAAACAUCAGUUACCAAACACCUGCUCUUCUUGCUGUUCUGUGAAUACCCUUCUCCCUUUCGAAGUCCCAGGCCCCUACCUGAUUUCCCAGCUUAGGAUGGCGUAUAAGCCUCCUCAACGGCCUGACUUGCCCUUGGGUCUCAUAUCUUUGUGGCUCCAGUACAUAUGAAAUUAAAUUUGUUUUUCCCCUGGUAAUCUGUCCUAUGUCAAUUUAAUUAUUAGGUCAGCCACAGAACCUAGAGGGAAGAAAGGAAAUUUUUUCCAUCGCGAUACUGUAAAUAUGGAUUAAUUGUAAAUGGCUGUGAUUCACGUUAAUAGCCAAACCAGUAGAUUGAUUUCACUAAUUUAGAGAAACAACUGAUCAAAUCAGCCACAACAGGAACAAACCAAUGAACACGCACAAAAGCAACAAAAACCAAAUUAACAGAUUCUUUCCAUUUAUCCUUAACCUUUAUUUGAUCUUCAUGAAAUGGUGUCAAAAAAGUUGUGUUAAAACUUGGUCAUGAUAUGAUAUGCCUGACACUGUGCUACAUGCUUCAGCUAGGUUACCGCUAAUGUGGUCAGUCCGUGUCAGGUGGCUUUUAUUAACCUCAUUAUACCUGUGAGACAUCAAGCCUCAGAGAAGUAAAGCAAUUUGCUCAGGGCCCAUUCCUAAAGAGUGUUGGAGCAGAGUUUUGAUUCAGGUGUAAGAUUAUAAAGUCAGAGGUCUUCAUAGUUUCUGAAGACAGUGAACUACAUUGUCUGAGAUCUAUGUAAGGGAAAUAAGGACACUUGGGAGAAAAAUGAUGGAUUUGUUAGACACUUAUAAAACCACAUCAGCCCUGCUUUUGCUUACCAACACCGUUGCGUUCAUGUAGUUCAACUGCAAAACCAAAAAUGCCGAUAUACAGAGUGCACCGUAGUCUCUUAUAAAAAUUACUUACCUUAUGCAGAAAAGUAAAGAGCGAAAGCAUUUAAGCUUGUCACACAUCUUUCUGGCUUUCUGAGUUUUAGGUCAGAUUACUGGACCAUGAAGCCUUCAUUAAAAACCGAAGAUCUUUUCUAUACAAAAGUGAAAUAAUUUUUCCACCCCUGGGAGUGGGUCAUCCAAGUCACACAUGGACUUGAGGAUGAACAUGAAAAAGUAAAGUGUUUAUGAUCAGAUAACUUGCUAGUUUCUUGCCAUAAAAAGGGCUCAAACACUCAGCUUUGUGUCUCGGCGUCAGUGUUUGAUUCGAUUUUUUUCUUUGAUAGUUUAAUUGUUCAGGUAUUUCCAUAAUGCAUAAAGCCAAUCUUAACCUAAACCUCAAAUAAAAAUGCAUAUUUUCAACAUCAUCUGUUAAUCACUGAAGUUUCUGAGGCCCACCCAUUGGGAUCUGGUAGGGGCAUGUGUGGCAAUGAACACACAGGCAGGAGGAUCCCAGGGCUAGGUAUUGAAUCUAUGAUAAGUUGUCUAUGACAGUGUUGCCCAGGAGGUGAAGCCGUAACUGGAAAGACUGAGGUCUUAGCCAGGCUAAAUGGGAGGGGCAUCCAGUGAGCGAUCUGACCAAGUAGGCCAGGGAACAAAAAUAGGACCUUGAAUGUGCGGUACAGACACUGCUCAUCAAGAAGCAGGCAGAUUGUUUCAAAUGUUUUAGAAAGUUAAGUCUAAGGAAAGUUCACUCUAGUAAGUGUCUAGUCUGUAGGUGUGGGGACAGUCACUUCUUCUCAAAGUUACCUUUUGUGUUUGUGUGCCUUUAACAUUUACAUUAGUGGUAUUUUGCAACUUGCUGUUUUCCAGGCAACAUUGUGUUUUUGAGAUGUAUCAGGAUGAUACUACAUAUCGGUUGGGGGUAAGUAGAAGGAAAGUAAAAGUAGAGAAAUAAUGCUUGACCCAGAUGCACACCAACUUUGGAAGGUGGAAGGGAUAGGGAUACAGACAGUGGGAGAAGAGCUCCAAGUCUGGGUAGGUGGUUGUAUUAUUAUCUAAUUGAAAUAUUUUAUAUCUCUUUUAAUUUUUAUUUGUGGUAAAAUACUCAUAACAAAAUUUACCACUGUUAAGUGUACAAUUCAGUAUCAUUGAGUAUAUUCAUAUUGCUGUGCAACCAAUCUCCAGAAUCUUUUCAUCUUGUGCAACUGAAACUCUGUACACAUCAAACCACAGCUCCCCACUUGCCAUUCUUCCCAGCCCUAGCAACCAUCAUUCUACCUUCUGUUUCUAUUAAUUACUCUAGAUACCUCGUGUAAGUGGAAUCAUACCGUAUUUGUCUUUUUAUGACUGGCUUAUUUCAUUUACACUUAGUCACUUCUCAAGGUUCAUGUAUGUUGUAGCAUGUAGAAUUUGUUUCCUUUUGAAGGCUGAAUAGUACUCCAUUGUAUGUGUAAACCAUACAUUGUUUAUCCAUUCAUUCAUUGAUGGACAUUGUGCUGCCUCCUCCUUUGGGCUGUUGUGAACAAUGCUGCUAUGAACAUGGCUUAAAGAUCUCUUUGAGACCUUGCUUUCAAUUCUCCUGGGUAUAUCCCCAGAAAAUUGCUGGAUCAUAUGGUAAUUCUAUUUUCAAAUUUUUUUUUUUUUUGUAUUCUGCUGUGUCUGCAUCAUUGUACAUUCCCACCAAUAGUGGACAAGGGUUCCAGUUUCUCUGUAUUUUUGCCAAUGCUUGUUAUUUUCUGGGUUUUUUUUUUUUUUUUUUGGAUAGUAGCUAUUCUGAUGUAUGUAAAGUGAUAUCUCAUUGUUUGCAUUUGUAUUUACCUGCUGCUUCUGUAUCUUUUUGAAAAGGUUUUAUGCUGUGAACUAGGGUAAGGGAGAUGAGUGGGACUCAGGCAGUGUUGAGGAGGGGAUGGGAAAGGCAUGGGCCCAGUCAGGCAGGGAGAGAGGAGAGAUACAGGCUUAACCUUUCCAGGUACCUAGCAGAUGCAGAAGUUUCUAUGAGUGAUAAGGACCAGAAUGAGCUGAGUGAACAGAGAAACAGGGAAGAGCCUGCAGGUGUUGCCUGAGAUAAGUGAGUAAGAACGAUGCAGAUGCCGAAAGCACCUAAUUCCUGAUAAUUAAUUAUUUUUUUCAGUAAAACUGAGUUGAAAGACAUUACUUGGUAACUGCCAGUAAUAGCUAGGCUCCUUUCACCAGCCAGAAAACAGUUAUCAUCUACUCUUGGGUAUUUGAAUUGAUCAGACUUGCAUAAUGAUUCAUCCAGUGAAAUAGUUUAGACAUAAAAAAGUGCAAGCGUGCACUCACACCCUGUCCAUCAGAGGCAUCCAUGCACGAGGAGAGCGGGGGCGGUGACUUGUCCCUGGUACACCCUGUCUCUUGGGUUCCUCUGGGAAGAUAUUCUACCACUUGCCACCCAGAGAAACACUAAAUGCCUGCAAGUUACCAAAGGAUGAGUAUUUUUCAUUCAGGAGGGAAUUGUGUGCUUCUUGAUGAGCAGCGUCUCUAGGUGCGUAUUUGGGUUAGUUUUCUGGGGAUGCCAUAACAAAGUACCACAACCUGGAUGACUUAAAGUAACAGAACGCUAUUUCCUCAUAGUUCUGGAGGGCAGAAGCCCAGAAUGCAGGGCUCUAUUCCCUCCGAAGGCUCAAGGGGAGAGGCCUUUCUUGUCUUUCCCAGCUUCAGGUGGCUGGGUGCAUUCCUUGCCUUCCUUGGCUUCCUUGGCUCCCGGCCAUGUCACUACAACCUCUGCCACACCAGUCUCACCUUUCCUUCUCUUCUUCUGUCUCUUAUAAGGACAUUUGUCGUUGAAUUUAGGGUCCACUUCCAUAAUCCAGGAUAAUCUCCUCUCAAGAUCCUUAAUUACAUCUGCAAAGACCCUUUUUUCAAAUAGAGUGACUUUCGUAGCUUCUAGAGAUUUGGACAUGGAUGCACCUUUUGCAGGGGCAUUAUUCAACAGGAGUGCAAAACCUUCAGGGGAAAGUCCAACCCUUUCCCUCUAACAUGAGUCAGGCUGGGAGUGGGAAGAGACACUGGGCCCUCAAUGUCUUUGUUUGCUCUGUAACAGACACCACCCAAAGUCAGUGAUGGAGCCAGCAAAUUUGGCAUGUGAAUCAAUUUAAUGUCCCAUACAUAUUGUUGGUGGUUAGAAUAGACCCAUGUUUUUGGUGCUCCCAGUUUUGGUUCCCAGGGACAUAAGACCUCUUGUGCUCCAUCCUUUUGUCAUUACCCCUGUCCAGAGCCGCACCCAUUCAUGGAAUCAUUCCUGUUUUGUGCUGGGGGCAGGAAGAGUUAGUACUUACUGAGCCACUCUCAGUCUUCAGUAACCUGGGUAACCUGAGAUAGAGGAAUCUAGCAUCCACACCCCAAAACGAUCCUGUUGGAACCUGCUUAUUGAAAGAAGUCAUUUUCACUUGUGAGUGUCUCCUGAACAGUGCAAUUCCAGGACCAGUUAUGUGUGUUAGAACAGCAAGUGUACAAUUUUACAGAAAUGAUUUCACUUCAAUAGAAACAUCUUUAUACCAACACAAGAUCAAUAUUUCUGAUUUCCAUGCUUAGUGUUACUCUUUGAGAUUGACCAGAAAUUGUUAUUUCUAUAGAGAUAUAUUUUAUUCUGAUAAUGCUAGGGAACAGAUAAUGACUUGGGAGAACAUCAAGAUUAAUGUCCUUAGUGUCAACAUUUACCCUGUAGUCAAUGUAAUAUUAAAGCCCCUAGUUCAGUUUACCUGAAGGCAGAAUAAAUCCUCUCCCCUUUUUUUUUGGUCAACAAAUAAUAUAUUAUAGGAAAUCCUGUAUCUGUUGCAUUUAUUUUGUAAACUUCUUUUUCAUUUGAAGAAUAUGGCACAUAUAUGGAAGAAGGCACAGCUCAGUGAAUUAUCAAAAGGAAACACACCUGUGUAAUCACCAUCCAGGUCAAGAAAAAGUACAUUGCCAGUCUCCCUGUGCCUAGAAGAAAUCUUCAAGCCCCUUCUCUAUCACAAUCCCCUCCCUUCCCACCAAAAGUAGCCUUUGUUUUGACUGUUUUUUUUUUUGACAGUUUUUUGCCUACAUUGAAAUUUUAUGUUGCAUAUAUUCUUUAAGCUUUUUUUUUUUUUUAUAAAAGCAUCUGGAAAGCAUUCCUUUAAUGAUAUCCCAUCUCAGAGGCAGAAUAAUUUUUUCUUUGUAGGUAUCUCUUUGUCGGGAAGAUAAAUAGCUAACCCCAUACAUCAUUAUCAUAAAAACUUAUUUGUAGUUUACAUGAGAAGCCAGGAUGAAGAGUAACACAUGACCUUGUGAUCUAACACAUGAACACAAAUGGAAUUAUUAAAAAUAAAGAUAAAUGAGUACUGGAAAUUUUAAUUUGUGAAUUAUGUGGUUCUCCUUGCUCUAGACUUUCUUGAUAGUAAGGUGACUCUAACCUUUGGGACAUAGUGGCAUUCUUUUGAUUAUGUAAUUUUUUCUUUCUUUCUACCAGCUUGGUCUCUUGUUCAAAUGCAUUUUCCCUAACAACGUGUUUUAGUGUUUAAUGGUUUAAAAAAGAAAUGACUUCAAAGCCAAUAAUAUGUAGAGAGGCUUAUAUUUGUCUAUAAUUUGUCUAGACAUACUUCUAAAAUUAUGACUGAGCCUAAUUCCCACUAACACAUUAUAUUUACUCAAUGCCAAGGGGAAAAUGAAGUGGGAGAUGUGAUGAGGAAGGAAAAAGAAAGACCACACUGAAUGUAUAGUCACUCAGGUGUAAGGUAUAAUCUAAUUUCAGAAAUGUUGAAAUGUGGGGGGGAAUUAGAAUUGAGGAGUCAUAUUAGUGCUAUUUGCUGAUAUCAGUGGAUGAUAUUAGCCAGAGGUGGUUUGAUGUUAAGAGUUUUCUCUCAAAAUAAACAAAAUGGAAAAAAAAUUAGGAAGUCACUAUGGAAAUUUAUAUUGACAAACAUCAGCUGUUACUGGAGUUAUGAAUGGGUUACCCUUUGGAGGUAAUGAGGACAUUUGUACAUCAUGUUAUCUCAGGAGUUCUACAGAAACUCUACUUGUCCUCAAAACAUUUGCCCUAUUGUCGCACUUCCUUCCUGACACUUUAAGAAAUCACCUUUGGGGGUCAGUCUUUGAGUACUGUUUAUGUAAGAUGUCUGGAGAAGGAAACUAGCUCCUGGGUUCCUCCCCUUGCUUUCCCUUCAUUCACUUGCAUGGCUUAAUUAUAUAUGUUAGCUAAUUGUCACUAUUAAAAGCACAGAUCCUGACCUUAAGGGAAUAAAGUGCAAAAUAGAUACCUCUUAAUUUCCUGAUGGCAGCUUCAGUUUACUGAGAAUAGAAACUCCUUCCCAGGCUGUGAGUGCUUGAUUAACAUAGGAGUUUCCCAAGAGUGUAGAAGAGGAAGCCCAGUAGGCCAGCAAGCUAUUUGUUCACCCUGUGUAUCCAGGUUUGAGUACUUUUUGUGUGAGCUUUAAGGAGUGAUCAGUAAAAAUCACUAUUUCAAGCCAUUUUACUUUGACUUCCUAGUAAAUGGGUGUAUUAACAUAGUGCCUUUUGCCAUAUCCUUGUAAAUAUCUGAGAUAACUUUCUUGUAUUUUUCUUUAAAUCAGCGUUGGUUUUUGAAAUGUAAUUCAUUUUAUUUUGUUAUUUAAUUUUUUAAAAAAUUUACUUACUAAUUUUGAGAUAGAGCAUGAGCAGAGUAGGGGUAGAGAGAGGGGAGAGGGAGAAUUCCAAGCAGGCUCUGCACUGUCAGUGCUGAGCCCGGUGCAGGACUCGAACUCACGAACUGUGAGAUCAUGACCUGAGACAAAAUCAAGAGUCACACACUUAACUGACUGAGCCACCCAGGUGCCCCAUAAAUAUAACGUAUUUUAAAGGAAGAUUUUAUAUCACUUCUAUAAAUAGACAUCUACUAUCACUUCCUAUAUAUAAAAGAUAAAUGUUACAUAAGUUCAUAACUCUAAAACCACUUCCCACUUUGUGAAAUGGCUUAGAAUAGUAAAUUUGGGACUUGGGAUCAGAGGAUCAGAGUUCUCAUCUCAGCUCUGCUACUUAUGAGUGCUCUGGUUUGGGGAAGGUCCCUUCUCCAAGUCCCAGUCUCCUCCACAGAAAGGAGGGGUUGGUGGGAAUGAUAAUAAUGCCCCCUGAAAAGAGUUAUCAUGGGGAUUAGAAAUGACACUUAGAAUACCUGGCAUGUUUUAAGUGUGGGGACUCAGAAGUUGACAAUUUUUUUUUUUUAAUAAUUAUGUCUUUGGUAUUAGUAUAUCAACUUAUCUUUGCUCUGCUCUGAAGCUUUGCCUGCCUGCCUUUCUCCAAGUGACAUGGGAUAAAUCAAGUUGCAAAGGAAAAUGGUGUUUCCUUUCACUUUUAAGCCUAAAGUCCAAACAGUAUGGUAAAUGGAGUUCACCUCAAGUGCAAAUGCCCAUUUAUCAGUAGUUCGUGGCUGGAUCCCUUUAUUGACAAGGGUUGUGAUAGCAGUGCUGUGAUUGAGUAAUGCUGGCUGUAUGCCCUAAACAUGGGAGGGCAGAAGACUGGUACUUCCUAUUUGACAACAUUAACUCCUGCCUCCUUUUUGCCAAGUCUUCUUAGCUUUCCAGAAUUUGCAUCUUGCAAGGUGUCCCCAGUUCAGCAUGGACUUCUUCAGAAGAGAGCUUCAAAGUCACUUCAAGGACAUUAUACUUAUUUUCCUUCCUGAAAUAGUCUAAAAUGAUGGCCCUCUCAGGCCCUUCUGAUUCUGUCACCUCUUUCUCACUCCCUAGAAUAGCCCACCUUUCAGUCCAACUAAUUCUUCUUGUUUAGAGAGAAAAAGAGCUGUCUGUGCCAUUGGGGCUGUUCUAUCACUUUCCUCGCUCUCUUAUAUAUCAUAAAGGAUUAGCAGGUACACACCCCAAGAAGAUGGGGAGAAGGUGAAAUGUGUGCAGCCUGUGCUCUGGUUAGUGAUCAGGUCCCCAUAGCAGCUCGCCGGACGCUUAUUUGUCCAGCUCUGCAAAUAGUUUUGGCAAUGGGAAGUGCUACCAAUGUGACAUCGUGGAAAAUCCUGGUACAUAAAAGACUUUAUGACACUUCCCUUUUUUCCAGCUCACACUCUGGAGUGAACCAGUAAACAAAUCAUUAAAACAGGAGGAAAAUUAUUCUUCUGGGGUUUAAGGCUCUGUCCUAGUAAGAAAAGAACACUGCAGAAAGAAACGUGAUAAACAAUACUUAGGAGAACUUAACUUUUAAAUGACAUUUUGAAGCCAACAGAUUCUAAAUGCUGACAUCAACAUUUUUAAUAUUUGUCCAUUACUGUUUAAUACAAUAGGUUAAGUGUUGCUUCGGGGAGCUCGGAAUUGUUCACUUCCAAGGAGUGAGAAGGAUGCUCAUUAUUUCUCUUAUUACCUGUCCUUAGAAUUUGUAUUGCUCUUAUCGUCCACAGACUGCUCCUUGGUAAUUUUUAUUACUAACAAACCCAUAACCUGAUGGGCUUCUCUGGAAAUAGAGGGUAUUGUGAAGGCACUCAGGAUAUAGAUAUGGUGCUGAUGGGAUCAAUUAAAAUGAAUCGUAGCCCAGGGAAAGGUGUUUUGUGGAGCAUCACAAUGUGACAAAGAUGAGUUUAAAAAUAAUCGCGUAUUUUAUGACCACAUUUCACAAUCUUGUUCACCCAGAUAGUUGUGACAGUCACAUUCUGGACCAACAUAAAGAGUGAGAUAGGGGAAGACAGACUGGCAAACAUUAUGAUUUAAAGGGAAUUGAUGUUUAUCGAUGAGCACUUCAUCAUUUCCAAGGGCUUUCAGGAAAAGACAGCUUCUUUUAUAGACAAUGAAAGAAGGGACUGUUAAUUCAGGUGCAUCAUCUGAAAGUGUUUCCAGGCCUCCUAUUUACUUUCCAUUCUCUUAUUGCCCUCCCUGUUAGAGAUACAGCACCUGUGUGUGAUAGCCUUUGAAAAUCUCUCUCUCUCUUUCUCUCUCACUUACACACACACACACACACACACACACACACACACACACACCACCACCACCAAACUUUGAAGGGCAAGGUUAAUUGGACAUGUGAGAAUGUGUUGUUAUUUCAUAUUGAAUCGGGUGGCUGAGCUUUUGUGGUAUUAGUUUUGUGUUAUUAUUUGGGGAUCUGAAUUUAAUAAUGAUAUAAGAACCUUCUAAUAGGAUGAGAGUUUAAAUAACUCACUGCUAGAGUUUUCUUUUUUAAUUUCAGCUUUCAUCCAAAAAUUCCCUUACUCAAACCCUUUCAAGGGGUGCCUUACUUCUGAGGUACUCUAAGCCUCUGGCUGGCCUUAAAGACUCCGUCUCUUUGCCCUCCCUCUAUCUUGUUCUUCUUCCAUCCUCAUCAGGGUGUUCUCUGUAAUCCCCACCCCUGCCCCCAAACUGGGUCUUCUCUCUCUGUUCUUUUCUUACCUUCUCUUUUAUCCCAUCACCCAUUUCCCAGAUCUGACACACCUUUUAUUCCCUCUGCUCUCUCCAAGUUCAGCAAAACCUAUUCAAGGGCCAUUUCUUCUAGGGGACCCAGAUUAUUCCCUUCUCUACUAAGCUCUCAUUCCUUUGAAAUACAGUUUUUUAAGCCAUGCUCUCUAACAAAUAAAAUACAGGCAUAUAUGUAAUUUUACAUUUUCUAGAAACAGGUAAAAUGAAUUUUAAUGAUAUAUUUUAUUUCAUCUGUUAUUUUAAAAAUAUUUUCAUUUCUACAUGCAAUCAUGUUGAGAUUAUUCAUGAGAUGUUGUUAUUUCAUUCUAAGCUUCAGAAAUCUGGUUUAUAUUUUAUACUUACAGCAUAUCCCAAUUUGGAUUAACCACAUUUCAAGUGCUCAAUGUGGCAUAUGACUACUGAAUCUGUACCACAUUCCCCAGCUCUCAAAUAUGUACUUUUGUGUUUCUUAUCUUUUUACCUGGACCUAAUUGCAAACAACUCUUUGAAGUUGGAGCCCAUGUUGAUACUUCUGUUUUCACACUUCAUUCCUGAGUGUAUAGUAAGCUGUAAGUAAUUGUCUAUUGAUGGAUUGGUAAUAUUCUUAUCUGUGACCCCUGUUUAAGUAACUAAAAUAAUAUUUACUUAAGCACACUUAUUCCCACUACAGCUUCCUUAUGCUUGGAAUUUCCCUUUUCUUCUCCAUACUUACGUUAUGAUUCAGCUACCAUAUUACCUCUGUUUUGUUCGAUUUGAACCUUUUGGGAUAUGUUGGAUGGGAUUAUAAGAAAUAGAUGUACAUUAUUUGCAGUUCUGUUGCACUAGAGAGCAGCAUUUUCACAUAAUACUCAUCAUUCGUACAACUCGGGCAAAAUAGGAUUUAUAGCUGAAAUCAAUAGGAUAAUUGCUUCCAUUGUUCUUUUUUACUUUCUUAACAGAGACUGGACAAAGACUCACAAGAGUCUGCGGAUCACAAGACCCACCUGUGAAGCAGAGGCUCUCUGGUUUGAUUGCAUUAUGGAAAAGACAAAGUUUUACAAGCUGAAACCAAAUCACGAGGAUAGAGAUAGCUUGCAAAAUUGCAGGGAGGGAAAGUGGUGGGGUAGGGAAGGAGACCCUAGAGAGAAUGGGGACAAACAGACAACCUGAAGUAGAGGAUAAGAUGAGGAGGCUUCCAAACUGUGUCAAGGGCACCAAAAUGGGGGGGAAGCAGGAGGGAAUGCAAAUUGUCAACUAUUCCACAAUUUAAUGAACAGUGUACUAAUAUGUGUACUAUUUCUACUCUGUCACCAACUUAAUUCAAGGCCAAGGUCUCAGAGACAGAAUGCUGGAAUAUAAUUCUAGAACUGUGCCAAUAAACAAUAAAUCAAAGUCCAUAGUUUUUCUCAUCACGUAAAAUUGUCAUAUUAAAGUUACAAACAUUCUCUCCAUACAGUCUAAUGUUUAAUGCAUUCUAUAGUCUUUAUUAAGAAUCUGUCAGUUGGUCCC
rnacentral:lncRNA from 1 species